GCGGUCAUCCUUCCGUAUAUCCUCUUACUACAAUCCGUAAUUGUAAACCACGGGAGUCUCUUUACUUGUAUGGAGUCAAGCAAGGAUAUCUAGUCUCUGCCAUGUAAUUUCACCGGUACUUUUCAAGCGUAAAGAACUGCCAUUGGACUUCACAGUGACCGUUUAAUACUUAUUCUUUUUAAUACUUCUUAAUUUAAUUAUAAAAUUAUUUCUCAUUUUGUUAAGAUUGUAUGAUACAGUAUACAACCUAA